rnacentral:tRNA from 1 species
GUAUAACUCAGUGGUAGAGUACGUGUCUAGCGUGCACGAGGUCCUGGGUUCAAUCCCCAGUAC